UCAUACUGAUUCCUCAUUGGCUCAAUUGUUUAUAAUGUCUCUGACCAUGAUGGAUGGUGCUACAUUGGUCUCUGCAACAAGACUUGUGAAAUAGAAACACAUUUGACCAGCUGUGGUACAUCAACUACCCCAGUUACUCCUACUUCACCAACCACUUCACAGCCCCCAACAACAACAGUUCCACAUGUAACAUAUCCAUCUGAGAAGAACUGUGACCAUGACCAUCCUCCAAGACAGAAUGGUGACAGCUGGAACAUAACCAAUGCACCAACGGAACAUGCGCCAACGGGAAGGUUAUUUAUGAGCAUGUACAUUGUGAGACUCCGAAGCCUAUAGCAUGUGAAAAUAACUAUCCUCCAAUCAAAGUGUAUGACGAAUCUGAUGCUGUUUCCACUA